AUGCUUUAGGUGAUGGAACUUCUCUACGUUUGAGAUAGACGGAUUAUUACCGAUGAUGGACAAGAAUAUGUCUCGAAACGAUGGCCAGUCUUCAAACGCGCCCGAAAAUGAUCGGAUUUUCAGACGCGGCAGCGUCGAUUUGGUGGAAAAAUCAUUUCCCGAGGAGGAGGAUUCAUUCGGAGGAGCGGUAUUUGACUUCUCAGCCUUGAGCUUUGUCAAAUAAAAUAAAUCAUUCAACAGGCUAUGCUGCACUUGAUCGAGAAGCGCUAAACGGGUUUUGACGGCGUGGAGAGUGAUGUUGGCCAUCCCUAUCUUUUUUAAAUUAGCCGCUGAUCUGGUCAUGCGACCGUGGAUGUCACUCUGAGCGGUCAGCAAGAUAUAACGCGCACUGAACGCGAUGAUACUCCCGAACAAGCAAAUCGGGGAAGGUGAAUCCGGCUCGAAGGACCAGCAAUGUUCGAAAGCGAAUCAAAGCGAGAGCGGCAGCGAGAAAAAUUUGAGC
rnacentral:misc_RNA from 1 species